GCAGAGCACCCCUACGGGAGGCAGCAGUGGGGAAUAUUGCACAAUGGGCGCAAGCCUGAUGCAGCCAUGCCGCGUGUAUGAAGAAGGCCUUCGGGUUGUAAAGUACUUUCAGCAGUGAGGAAGGUGGAUAUGUUAAUAGCAUAUUCAUUUGACGUUAGCUGCAGAAGAAGCACCGGCUAACUCCGUGCCAGCAGCCGCGGUAAUACGGAGGGUGCGAGCGUUAAUCGGAAUUACUGGGCGUAAAGCGCAUGCAGGUGGUUUGUUAAGUCAGAUGUGAAAGCCCGGGGCUCAACCUCGGAAUUGCAUUUGAAACUGGCAAACUAGAGUACUGUAGAGGGGGUAGAAUUUCAGGUGUAGCGGUGAAAAUGCGUAGAGAUCUGAAGGAAUACCGGUGGCGAAGGCGGCCCCCCGGACAGAUACUGACACUCAGAUGCGAAAGCGUGGGGAGCAAACACGGAUUAGAUACCCUGGUAG
rnacentral:rRNA from 1 species